CAGUAGCCACGGUAAUACGUAGGUGGCGAGCGUUGUCCGGAAUCAUUGGGCGUAAAGGGAGCGCAGGCGGGCAUGUAAGUCUUUCUUAAAAGUUCGGGGCUCAACCCCGUGAUGGGAAAGAAACUACAUGUCUUGAGUACAGGAGAGGAAAGCGGAAUUCCCAGUGUAGCGGUGAAAUGCGUAGAUAUUGGAUGGAACACCAGUGGCGAAGGCGGCUUUCUGGGCUGCAACUGACGCUGAGGCUCGAAAGCCAGGGGAGCGAACGGGAUUAGAUACCCGUGUAGUCCCUGUCUCUUAUACA
rnacentral:rRNA from 1 species